rnacentral:rRNA from 1 species
AAGGAUUGUAAACUCCUUUUGUUAGAGAAGAUAAUGACGGUAUCUAACGAAUAAGCACCGGCUAACUCCGUGCCAGCAGCCGCGGUAAUACGGAGGGUGCAAGCGUUACUCGGAAUCACUGGGCGUAAAGAGCGCGUAGGCGGGAUAGUCAGUCAGGUGUGAAAUCCUAUGGCUUAACCAUAGAACUGCAUUUGAAACUACUAUUCUAGAGUGUGGGAGAGGUAGG